GUCAAAACGACUCUCGGCAACGGAUAUCACGGCUCUGCAUCGAUGAAGAACGUAGCGAAAUGCGAUACUUGGUGUGAAUGCAGAAUCCCGUGAACCAUCGAGUCUUUGAACGCAAGUUGCGCCGAAGCCAUCAGGCCGAGGGCACGUCUGCCUGGGCGUCACGCAUCGCGUCGC
rnacentral:rRNA from 1 species